rnacentral:rRNA from 1 species
AUGGGCUACUACCUCCACCACCGUCGGCUCCACAUGUGUGGGGGAUGCCUAUCUUCUGCGAAGGAGAUGACAAAGGAUGCAGAGGAGACAUGCUCCGUGGUGUGUUCUUGCUGCAAAGCUCUCAUACAGAUUUCUUUUUCAUGCGAGUUGAGAACACACAUACUAGGAGGGAAGAAGGACAAUGGACUUGACAAUGACACUAGCUCGGAUGGCGCCACUAAAGUGAUGAUGCUAAUGUACAGGAGGAGGGAUGUAAAAUUGCAGACAUUAGAACUUGGUCUCGCCAAAGCUCAUUUAGUGAUAAGGGAGACAAUCCAGACAAAUAAUGUGCUGGUUGGACCAGUGUAUUGGAAUGCCUAUGCAUUUCAGAGGUACGCAAAUCCUUUUGCAUAUAAAUACUUUGCCAUUAGGGUGUGA